CGUAGGGGCGAGCGUUGUCCGGAAUUAUUGGGCGUAAAGAGCGUGUAGGCGGCCUGAUAAGUCUGCUGUGAAACCUUGGGGCUCAACCCCAAGCGUGCAGUGGAUACUGUUAGGCUAGAGGAUGGUAGAGGCGAGUGGAAUUCCCGGUGUAGCGGUGAAAUGCGCAGAUAUCGGGAGGAACACCAGUAGCGAAGGCGGCUCGCUGGGGCCAUUCCUGACGCUGAGACGCGAAAGCUAGGGGAGCGAACAGGAUU
rnacentral:rRNA from 1 species